AGUUUGAUCCUGGCUCAGGAUGAACGCUGACAGAAUGCUUAACACAUGCAAGUCUUUGGCGAAGCUGUGCUUGCACAGCCUAGCCAAGGCGGACGGGUGAGUAACGCGUAAGGAACUUGCCCUGCAGUCAGGGAUAACAGACGGAAACGACUGAUAAGACCUGGUAAAGUCAGGCGGACUCAUGUCCAGCCUGAUGAAAAGAGAUGCUGCAGGAGAGCCUUGCGUCCUAUUAGCUUGUUGGUGGGGUAACGGCCCACCAAGGCGAUGAUAGGUAGCCGGCCUGAGAGGGUGGACGGCCACAAGGGGACUGAGAUACGGCCCUUACUCCUACGGGAGGCAGCAGUGGGGAAUAUUGGACAAUGGGGGCAACCCUGAUCCAGCAAUUCUGUGUGCACGAAGACGGUUUUCGGAUUGUAAAGUGCUUUCAGCAGGGAAGAAGAAAGUGACGGUACCUGCAGAAGAAGCGACGGCUAAAUACGUGCCAGCAGCCGCGGUAAUACGUAUGUCGCAAGCGUUAUCCGGAAUUAUUGGGCAUAAAGGGCAUCUAGGCGGCCAGAUAAGUCUGGGGUGAAAACUUGCGGCUCAACCGCAAGCCUGCCCUGGAAACUAUGUGGCUAGAGUACUGGAGAGGUGGACGGAACUGCACGAGUAGAGGUGAAAUUCGUAGAUAUGUGCAGGAAUGCCGAUGAUGAAGAUAGUUCACUGGACGGUAACUGACGCUGAAGUGCGAAAGCUAGGGGAGCAAACAGGAUUAGAUACCCUGGUAGUCCUAGCUGUAAACGAUGAUUACUGGGUGUGGGCAUGAAGAGUGUCCGUGCCGAAGCUAAUGCGAUAAGUAAUCCGCCUGGGGAGUACGGCCGCAAGGCUGAAACUCAAAGGAAUUGACGGGGACCCGCACAAGCGGUGGAGCAUGU
rnacentral:rRNA from 1 species